CUGGACCUUGUACAUUUGUCGGCUGCAGAAUGGACUUUGGAAGGCAUCUAUGGAGAAAGAGUGCUUAGUAACCAACGUCAAUUUUUUGAGGACUGCCAGAGGUGGACAUUUGGAUCACAGAGUCUGGCAGCUCAUUCAUAAGCCUAAAGUCAACAAGGAGUAAAGGUUAGCCAUUUCAUUUUGGUAAAUGUUAAACCAUACUCCAUACUGUUUUUGUUUCUUAUACCAAAUAAUAGUUUUAACAUGUAUGAGCAGAUAACUGUAUGAGUAGAAUUUGUCAAUAUUUAGAAAAUAACUAGAAACCUAUCCUAUUUGUGUUUAUAAUUCACAUUGCUUUUUUUAUAAUAUGCCUUUUAAAAGUAGUUCUCAAUUAAAUCAGAGAAACAGACUUUCCACUCUCCCAUAUUCUUUGUCAGCAGCACUUUCAACACUUUUACAAAGCAGUUCAAAGAACACUGGACAAUAUAUAACCACAGCAGCUGUGAUCCUGUGAUCAACAGCCACCGCAUAGGAGGCUAAGUGCUGUUUCUGGACCUGUGAAAGAGAAGAGGCGAAAAGGGAAACAUGCUUACUUGGACUUGGCCUCCAGGACCUGUACUGGAUUUCUGAGCAUUGACAGCCAGGGGAGAGUUCCACAUUGCCAGUGGAGCAGGCAGUAGCCCAGCACCUCCAGGUCCCCUCGUCUGGAUGGGGCUGCCACAGAGAAAGUGUAGAGCACAGAGCAUAAACACGUUAUAAGCCCUACAGGUGAUAAUUAGGCCUUUAGCACGGAGUUCAGCGGGAAGCAGAGUGCCUGUCUUCUCACUCCUCACCAUGGUAACACAUCAACAUCUACGCAGGGUGCCAGAGGCCACGAGCAAAGGAACACUCCACAAUCUGCAUUCAUCUACGGGGGCGACUUGACGCUAACGACCUACACAACAGCUGUCAGCUCAUGAUGAGAAGUCCACUACUGUGACACCAAAAUCAGGAAACUCUGGGAGCUGACAGCAGAAGCAUGGAAGCUUUACCUUGGCAUGGAUUUAGUAUUGAACUACUCUACUGCCUGCACUACUUUGCAGGAAAAAGAUAUUGGCUUUGAGUCCCAGUCUAACAAAACAUCAAAGCUUUAAUUAAUGGUAAAUGCAUACAAGAUGCAGGUUAUCACUUGGACUAUUUAGGGAAUUGUUGAAUUAAGUCUGGCCAGGUACACACAACCAAGUCAAUCAAUAUCCCAUAAAAAGACUGUAUGCAAUUUACAACUUAAUGUGUUUCCAAUAUCUCAACCAGGAAUUAAGAGCAUGAUAUGUUGGUUGCUGUCUAUGUACACUGUGCUUGAUACUGAGGUAAGUACAGAUAAUGAAAAUACAAGUUCUAUACUAUAAAAUAUGCAGAAUAUAUUAAUCUUAGGGGUUUUGCUUCUGCCUUUGUAAAUCUGAGAAAGGUUUAGACUUUAUAAAAUGUUAUAAUUUUUAACUAAAUCCUGUUAUGAAAACUCUUUAAUGUGCCUCUUCUGGAAGUAAAAGUUAUAGAAUAUAUGGAAUAUUAAGUCAAGUUACUCUGAAUAGUGAAGAUGAAAACAUGAACAAGCAUUGAAAGAUUAAAGUUAUAACCUUAUGGAACAAUCUAUUACUAACUGAAAUUAAGUACUUACUGUUAUAGAAGUUAAAACACAUAAUUCUAUUAGUAUUAAAUAGUUUAAAGGAGAAAAUUAGUUGUCACUUAGAUACGCAGGAUCAUCCAUCUUUGUGUCAUAAGUAAAAAAGUAAGUCGUGGCAUUUGUCGUCUCUUUACGCAUAGGUUGACUGCAAUAAUUGCUGAAUAAUUUGAUCAGUUCUGUAGACUAAAUUUCUUGUUAAUAAUAUUAAGGUCACCUAAUGCAUUUAAACCUUGUCUGUAAAGAGUCAAUAAGGACACUUCUCUGUAGUGAUGAUGUGACUGUGACCUUUUGACAGACGGUAUCUGAUCACAAACUGAACUGAUGUCUACUCCACUAAUCCAUUGCAUUCCAACAGCAAUCAAAGCCUGACAUUCACUGUGUGAGAAAAGCACACUGCACUUGCAAGGUUUUAGACAUGCUACAUUUACUGCUGCAUUUGAUGAACUGGCUUCUUAACUAAUGUGGUAUUUGCAGGCACAAAGCCAAGGCAAGGUUAGAAAAAAAAACCUAAAGAAAACUAUUUCUUUGUGUCAAGGUUUAUUUGAAAUCUUAAAAUGAAGCCUAUUAUUGAUUGAAAAACUCAAUUUUGGUCAAAGCAAAAUGACAUCUGACAGGUUUUUUUCUGACCACUGGAAAUAUUUACAGAUAGUAAAGAGACAUUAUCUGAAAACAGUAGAUAAAAUGAAUUAAUUGAUACAUUGAAUGAAUGAAUGAG